UAAGGAAUAUUGGUCAAUGGAGGCAACUCUGAACCAGCCAUGCCGCGUGCAGGAAGACAGCCCUCUGGGUCGUAAACUGCUUUUAUUCGGGAAUAAACCUAUUUACGUGUAAAUAGCUGAAUGUACCGAAGGAAUAAGGAUCGGCUAACUCCGUGCCAGCAGCCGCGGUAAUACGGAGGAUCCAAGCGUUAUCCGGAUUUAUUGGGUUUAAAGGGUGCGUAGGCGGCUUAUUAAGUCAGGGGUGAAAGACGGUGGCUCAACCAUCGCAGUGCCCUUGAUACUGAUGAGCUUGAAUACACUAGAGGUAGGCGGAAUGUGACAAGUAGCGGUGAAAUGCAUAGAUAUGUCACAGAACACCGAUUGCGAAGGCAGCUUACUAUGGUGUGAUUGACGCUGAGGCACGAAAGCGUGGGGAUCAAACAGGAUUAGAUACCUGGUAGUCCACGCCCUAAACGAUGAAUAACUCACUGUUAGCGAUAC
rnacentral:rRNA from 1 species